AUCCAGCUGACGAGUCCCAAACAGAACUAAAUGCGCGUUCCGGAU
rnacentral:hammerhead_ribozyme from 1 species